GUUUUUAUUAGGAGAGGUCAGUUAUUCCGAGGGGCAGAUUUUUCUAUCAACUGAUCAAGAAAUCUGCUGGAAGCUUUGCCAUCUUAGGAAUCCAGGUUGAAAGAAAACCAUGCAAAAUGCGGCUCUGGGAGAGUGAGUUCCUUUCUGAACAGGGCUGGCCCUGAUUUGACCCUGCCUCUCCAAGGUCCCAGCAACUCUUGGACGGAAAACCGAAAUGUUAUACAUAUUUGUCAUUCUAGUUUCCCAGCCUUUAAACAUCCUUCCCAUUUGGGGGGAACCCCAGAAUAGAGGGAAGGCAAGACCCCGAUUCCUACUUUAGAAGCCAAAGAGGGCAGAGAGUUUCUAUCUGUGCCCCAGAAACUAGGAAACCAGCACAUCACUUGGGCUCAGCCCAUCAGAGACCCCAUCAUGUCAUCUAGGACCUGAAGCCUGUGGGGAGGCAGAAGUCAUUUGCAGUGGCUGUGGUGGAUUUGAGUGCCCGCAAGCAUAGCAACCAAUGCCUGAUCAGAGCCCAGCAGCAUUAUGACACGUGUCCAGCAGUGACAGCAGCAGCGGCGCACCCUAAGUGGACUAUCCCUCUGGCAAGAUCUUGGCUGUGUCCUGCCUCCCUCAAUUUUUAUUCAUUUUCAUCACCUGGUUCUCUAGCCUUCCCACUGAUUCUGUGAGCUGCACAACACUCUUCCAAUAAGUUCACUUUCCGCUCAAGUCAACUAGGAGAGAUUUUGCUUGGUAGCAACCAAGAAUUCCGACUGGUCUGCCAACGUCCUCCCAUGGACACAUGAUCCAGUAACAAUCUGAAGGAGCUGUCCGCACUCCAAGGACAGACACAGAGGACCUUAGAAGACAAGCGCUAUGGAACCCCAAGCAAACCAAGAUAACUGACUAGAAGUGGGAGGAACAACCGACGGCUUCUCCGCAGAGUUCUAACACCCUAGAGUGCAGUGUGAUUCUCAAGGACAGCAGCAUUUUCCAACACAUUUGACACAGAAAGCACAUUCGAAAACACCUUUCCAGGGACUAGUGUUCUGGGGAGUGCUG
rnacentral:lncRNA from 1 species